AUGACCGUCGUCCGCACCUUCUCGGCAUCCAACGCCGUCCUCAUCUCCAUCAAACUCGCCGUCCGCCGAUGCCUCCGCCAUCGACCACGGUCUCGUCCAGCCCGCCGUAUGACUCCGGCCCGGCUUUCGUUGUCGAAUGGUACGUACCAAGUCAUUAAAGCACCAACUUACAAUGAGGAAAAGAGACAAGUAAAACCUUAUCUAGGGAUAUCAAAGAAAGGGGUGUACUUUGGAGUAAUUGAAGAGGCAUCUCGACUGCUGGUUUGGAUCCUCACUGAAAAUUCAAGUGGACAGAUGGAGUGGAUUUUAAGGCAUGAGAAUGGUCUUUCACACUGUGGCCAACACAUAAGAAAAUGUUGUAGCAAUAUGGACUCACCUUGGAAUACAUGA
rnacentral:rRNA from 1 species